GCUGUUCAUUACAGCAACAUCGGAUGACCAUUCGUUUAUGUCCUAACUCUUGAGACCCCCUUCUCUUCCUUCAUUUUCCUCAAAGAGAGAAGGAAAAAACUAAAAAGACGCUUGACGGGAUCAAUCACCCUCGUCUUUUCUUUUCCUCUCCGUCUCUCUCUUCAAAUUUCUCCAAAAAGAAGUUUCUUCUUUGCGAAUUGAAUAUUGGGAACAUAAUUUGGAGAUAGGGAGGGUAAGAAAUGGGUGACACAACAGAUUCAACAUUGAGAUUGAUACAAAACUCAGUCCCCAUGAACAUAUCCACCACUACAACCACAAUUGUAUCAUCUUAUGCCUCUUCUUCCAUUUUACCAAAUUUUCCUCUGCUCUCUUCUCUCAUUGCUUUUGCCCUUGCACAAUCCAUUAAGUUCUUCGCUUCUUGGUACAGGGAAAAGCAUUGGGAUCUAAAGCAACUUGUUGGAUCUGGUGGGAUGCCGUCAUCUCAUUCAGCAACCGUGACUGCUUUAGCCACGGCUGUUGGUUUGCUAGAAGGCUUUGGAGGAUCGCUCUUUGCUGCAGCAUUAGUUUUCGCAUGCGUGAACUUGCAGCAGCAGUAUCAGCACAAGUUCUUGGCUCUCUGGGAAUUAAUGUCUUUCAAUAUGACAGAAGUGAUGACUCUAUUACAAAAAUGGUCUGAAGAGAUGAUGGGCAUUUCUAGUAGGCAAGGACAGUUUGAGGAGAAGCUAGAACAAGCUCACAAGGACCAGGAACAGACCUUGAAGGCACUUUGCGAGGUCAUUACUUGUGGUAGGAGACUAGAGAGAAACAGGGAUCUGGUUACCAGUGGAACGGAGCUAUACUCGCUAUCAGAUCCUUUCCAAAUUUCAGCUUUCCCAAGAACAUAGGUGAUUUAUGAUGCCACAGGUGUAAGAUUGCAUGCUGGACGUCAAGCAGAGGUCUGAAGCUUCUGUUGCUUUAGCUAUGUAGAUAUCAGCAUUAUAUGCAAGCAGUUGUCCUUUGAACCUUCAAGUUCUGAAUCAAAUUGUAUGCGAACUUCCUGCUGAACAUCCUCUUGCAGACAGCAUACCGCUGCGGGAACUCCUUGGUCACACCCCUCCUCAGGUUGUUGCUGGUGGAUUCUUG